rnacentral:tRNA from 1 species
AGGCGGUUAGUUUAAGAAAAACCUUUGAUUUCGGCUCAAAUACUUAUGGUUAGAGUCCAUAACCCCCUU